CAGUCGCCGCGGUAAUACAGAGGGUGCGAGCGUUAAUCGGAUUUACUGGGCGUAAAGCGUGCGUAGGCGGCUUUUUAAGUCGGAUGUGAAAUCCCUGAGCUUAACUUAGGAAUUGCAUUCGAUACUGGGAAGCUAUAGUAUGGGAGAGGAUGGUAGAAUUCCAGGUGUAGCGGUGAAAUGCGUAGAGAUCUGGAGGAAUACCGAUGGCGAAGGCAGCCAUCUGGCCUAAUACUGACGCUGAGGUACGAAAGCAUGGGGAGCAAACAGGAUUAGAUACCCGUGUAGUCCCUGUCUCUUAUAC
rnacentral:rRNA from 1 species